rnacentral:rRNA from 1 species
UCUGGUUGAUCCUGCCAGAGGUUACUGCUAUCGAGGUUCGACUAAGCCAUGCGAGUCGAAUGUAGCAAUACAUGGCGAACUGCUCAGUAACACGUGGACAACCUGCCCUUAGGUUGGGUAUAAACCCGGGAAACUGGGUAUAAUACCCGAUAGGUCUCGAUUGCUGGAAUGCAUCGAGAUUUAAAGCUCCGGCGCCUAAGGAUGGGUCUGCGGCCUAUCAGGUAGUAGUGGGUGUAGCGUACCUACUAGCCUACGACGGGUACGGGUUGUGAGAGCAAGAGCCCGGAGAUGGAUUCUGAGACACGAAUCCAGGCCCUACGGGGUGCAGCAGGCGCGAAAACUUUACAAUGCUGGCAACAGCGAUAAGGGAACCUCGAGUGCCAGGUUACAAAUCUGGCUGUCGAGAUGCCUAAAAAGCAUUUCAUAGCAAGGGCCGGGCAAGACCGGUGCCAGCCGCCGCGGUAACACCGGCGGCUCGAGUGGUAACCGUUAUUAUUGGGUCUAAAGGGUCUGUAGCCGGCCGGAUAAGUCUCUUGAGAAAUCUGGCAGCUUAACUGUCAGGCUUUCAGGAGAUACUGUCUGGCUCGAGGCCGGGAGAGGUGAGAGGUACUUCAGGGGUAGGGGUGAAAUCUUGUAAUCCUUGAAGGACCACCAGUGGCGAAGGCGUCUCACCAGAACGGACCUGACGGCAAGGGACGAAAGCUAGGGGCACGAACCGGAUUAGAUACCCGGGUAGUCCUAGCCGUAAACGAUACUCGCUAGGUGUCGGCCACGGUGCGACCGUUGUCGGUGCCGUAGGGAAGCCGUGAAGCGAGCCACCUGGGAAGUACGGCCGCAAGGCUGAAACUUAAGGAAUUGGCGGGGGAGCACCAUAACGGGUGGAGCUUGCGGUUUAAUUGGAUUCAACGCCGGAA